AACGAACGCUGGCGGCAUGCCUAACACAUGCAAGUCGAACGAGACCUUCGGGUCUAGUGGCGCACGGGUGCGUAACGCGUGGGAACCUGCCCUUAGGUUCGGAAUAACUCCCCGAAAGGGGUGCUAAUACCGGCUAAUGUCUCCGGACCAAAGAUUUAUCGCCCUUGGAUGGGCCCGCGUUGGAUUAGCUAGUUGGUAGGGUAAAAGCCUACCAAGGCGACGAUCCAUAGCUGGUCUGAGAGGCUGAUCAGCCACACUGGGACUGAGACACGGCCCAGACUCCUACGGGAGGCAGCAGUGGGGAAUAUUGGACAAUGGGCGAAAGCCUGAUCCAGCAAUGCCGCGUGAGUGAUGAAGGCCUUAGGGUUGUAAAGCUCUUUUACCCGGGAUGAUAAUGACAGUACCGGGAGAAUAAGCUCCGGCUAACUCCGUG
rnacentral:rRNA from 1 species